GUGGGGAAUCUUCCGCAAUGGACGAAAGUCUGACGGAGCAACGCCGCGUGAGUGAAGAAGGUUUUCGGAUCGUAAAGCUCUUUCGUUAGGGACGAACGUGCUCUUUGUGAAUAAUGAGGAGUAAUGACGGUACCUAAAUAAGAAGCCACGGCUAACUACGUGCCAGCAGCCGCGGUAAUACGUAGGUGGCAAGCGUUGUCCGGAAUGAUUGGGCGUAAAGCGCGCGCAGGCGGGAUAUCAAGUCUGUCUUAAAAGUGCGAGGCUCAACCUCAUGAGGGGACAGAAACUGGUAUUCUUGAGUGUCGGAGAGGAAAGUGGAAUUCCAAGUGUAGCGGUGAAAUGCGUAGAGAUUUGGAAGAACACCAGUGGCGAAGGCGACUUUCUGGACGAUGUCUGACGCUGAGGCGCGAAAGCUAGGGGAGCGAACGGGAUUAGAAACCCGGGUAGUCC
rnacentral:rRNA from 1 species